GCCAGACUCCUACGGGAGGCAGCAGUGGGGGAUAUUGCACAAUGGGGGAAACCCUGAUGCAGCGACGCCGCGUGAGUGAAGAAGUAUUUCGGUAUGUAAAGCUCUAUCAGCAGGGAAGAAAAAAGACGGUACCUGACUAAGAAGCCCCGGCUAACUACGUGCCAGCAGCCGCGGUAAUACGUAGGGGGCAAGCGUUAUCCGGAUUUACUGGGUGUAAAGGGAGCGUAGACGGCAAUACAAGUCGGAAGUGAAAUACCCGGGCUCAACCUGGGAACUGCUUUGGAAACUGUAUGGCUGGAGUGCUGGAGAGGUAAGCGGAAUUCCUAGUGUAGCGGUGAAAUGCGUAGAUAUUAGGAGGAACACCAGUGGCGAAGGCGGCUUACUGGACAGUAACUGACGUUGAGGCUCGAAAGCGUGGGGAGCAAACAGGAUUAGAUACCCGAGUAU
rnacentral:rRNA from 1 species